AAGUCGUAACAAGGUUUCCGUAGGUGAACCUGCGGAAGGAUCAUUAUCACGUAUCCACGUAUCAACCAUUGUGAACUGUAUACCUUCAGAGAGAUUUGUAAGAUAAGUGAAAAAAAAAAAGGAAUUUAUUUUUCUUCUUUUUUUUCAUGAUUUCUCUCUGAAGCGUAAUAUCUUACACCCAACCAAUUGAACCCGAAAAAUAGGAAAGAAAAAAAUUUUUUUUUCUUUUUUAUUUUUCAAUUCUUUGAAUUUUAGUACUGAUAUAUAUUUCUGGCUUUGAAAAGAGCAGAAAUUUUUUCUUUACGAAAAAAAAAUUUAUACAACUCUUAGCAACGGAUAUCUUGGUUCUC
rnacentral:misc_RNA from 1 species